AAUCCAAUAGGCCUAUGUCACGGAACAAUUGAAGACCGGAAGAAGCUCGCGGAGUAGGGUAACUGCUCUUCCGCUUAGCUUAGCUAAGCUGUUUACCAUGGCGGAGGCAGAUCAAUACCUUUGGACCAAGUCUCUCCAACCUACCUAAAUUGUCCUACGACGACGUCCUAAGGAUAGUAAAUCAGCACUUACGUGUCGAAACAUCUAAACUACGCAAAGGAUAUAAGUUAUUCUGGGAGAAGUACAUUUUUAAUUACAUAGACACAUGACAACCACUUCACAGGGGGGAAAAGCGUGCCAACACCUCUGUCGUGCACCAGUGUUCUGCAGACGUGGACCAAGGACACAGGUUUAUGUGUAUACCUCAGGCCUAGCCAAACAUCCUGUAUAGUCUACUCAAUAAUAGUAUUCGAAGUUCUUGUAUAUAUACAGACGCGACUAACACUGACUUAAGUGUUGCUACACUGACAUUAUGAUUUAUGUGCUGACAUAUUUUUUCUUUUUGCUCCAGGGGAUUCGCUCCAGGGGAUUCGCCCGGAACCCAUUGACCAACUUGUGGUCAGGAAACCCAAGGUUUGGGUUAGGUGUUUUAUUUUAGCACAUACAUGGACACAUACCUCCUGAAUGCCAAGUAAAUAUGGCCGAGGGAUACACACACCCCAUUCCAUUUAUUUAUUUCUGUUAAAUGUAUAUAUGUAAAUAUUUUAAUCAAAGAAUUGGAA